UGAUGAGGUGUGACUCUUUUGGCUCAAGUGGCUCAAGUACUUGUAAUAUUUGCACGGCUGAAUCAUGAAUCUUGAUUUUGAAGCUUCGUCGACUUUUCAUUUGCCUGUUGCUGGUAGCAAACUGGCAGUGGCGUUUCUUCUACUUUUGGUCUCCCUACCAGAUGCAAUCAUUUACUCCCAUAUUUCUGUCGGUGUCUUCUUUAUAAGGCUCCUUUCUGGGUUCAUUUCCGCCUCUAAAUUCCUUCCAAUAGUGUCCACUUUCCCAGCAAUUUCAGAUCGAGAGACAGAGAUGGCGAAGCCAGGUUUAACGGCAAUGGUGGUGGCAGCUGUUGCUCUGGUGGUGGCAGCUGUUGCUCUGGUAGUGGCCAUGGUGGCGAAACACGCCCAUGCCGAGGCGGAUGACCCCGAGAAGGUGGACGCCUGGUUCAAUGGGCUUAGCCAUGCCGAUCGCAAGACCACACGCCUCCACUUCUACUUCCACGACACGCUCUCUGGCAGGAACCCCACGGCAGUGCAUUGCCGAGGCGAAGUCCCCGACGGGUUUCGGGGUGGUCAACAUGAUCGACGACCCGCUGACCAAGGGCCCUGAGCCAGAGUCCCCCCUUGUUGGCCGGGCACAGGGGUUCUAUGGCUCAGUUGGGCUUGAGUCGAUGGCCCUGCACAUGAGCAUGAACCUCGUAUUCACGACCCCGGAGUACCACGGCAGCACUCUGAGCAUAUUGGGCCGCAAUCCGGCACUCGAGACCUAUCGGGAGAUGCCUAUCGUUGGUGGGACCGGUGUUUUCCGGCUGGCAAGUGGGGUCGUGACGGCGAAGACGUACUUUCUCAACCUCACCACCGGCGAUGCUGUAGUUGAAUAUAAGGUCAUAGCUUUGCAUUACUAGAUAUAUCGUGGCUUGUGUUGUAGUCCAGUCCGAAGGUUAUGGUAGGAAAUUACAUCAUUCUAGUUGUGUGCGGAUGCUCUGUCGUUUCCAAUUUUGUUAUGCUUUACGUGCUUCAUGAUUUUUCAUUGAUUUUGGUGGUCUGGAAUCUUCCUGUGUGGGCUCUAGAUGAACUAUAAAUUGGACUCGGUUUAUCACUGAGUAGGUAAUGUUACAAUGUUCGCCGCCAUGUGAAAUCAAUCUUGCUGAAAACGUCAAUGAUUUUACCUA